rnacentral:tRNA from 1 species
GGAGAAGUGGCUACGUGGCAUAGCAACUCGUCCCGAAAACGAGAGACCUGCAAAGGUCGUGGGUUCGACUCCCGCCUUCUCCU